GAUGAAGAACGCAGCGAAAUGCGAUAAGUAAUGCGAAUUGCAGAAUUCAGUGAAUCAUCGAAUCUUUGAACGCAUCUUGCGCUCCUUGGUAUUCUGAGGAGCAUGCCUGUUUGAGUGUCAUUAAAUUCUCAACUACACUGACUUUGAAUUGGUGUGGCUUGGAUUUGGGGGGAAAAUUGUUGUGGGCUUUUUGUAGUCUGCUCCCCUGAAAUUGAUUAGCGGUACCUUUGUGGAACUGUCUACAGGUGUGAUAAUUAUCUACAUCUUAGACAUCUGCUGGAAUGCUGCUUUCUAAACCUUACUUGUAUUGACAAUCUUGACCUCAAAUCAGGUAGGACUACCCGCUGAACUUAAGCAUAUCAAUAAGCGGAGGA
rnacentral:misc_RNA from 1 species